GAGUCCGUCGCCCUCUCUUGCGGAAUCAGUAUCAAUUUAUGCCGAAUUGCCCCCCUCCGCCAUGGAUCGGGCCGUCGGAGUCCAUUGCUCUCUCACUGCCGCUCCUCAUCGCCCUCUCCGCCGUACCCUAUCGUUCUUUUUCCGCCAUCCUUCUCAAAUCUUAAAUGCCGUCAGAGGGAGAUCGAUUCACCCUUGUUGGUCGAAGUUCAAGCCGCCUCCGAUCUGUACCACAACUCCGGGUAUGAGCUGGCAGUGAGUGAUGGUGACAGACAUUGGGUGCCAGACAUGGAGGAACCAUUUGACUUGGACUUGGAUGUUGAUUUCUUCGGUGGACUUCACGGACGGAGGCCAACAACACCUCGACGUCCAUUUUUCCAACCAUAGAAGAACGCUGGGGAUGAAGGUGGUCCUCCGAUGUCACCGAAAAAUAGAGAUAUUUGGGGGAAGUUGGGCUAUGUUCCUGAUUUGGAGGACGAGCAUGAUAAAAAUUACAUCCCCACCCCUUCCCGAUUCACAUUACCAUCGCAUUCAAGUCCUCCAUAAGGAAGUUGGGUUCUGAUUGAGGAUAUCUACAGCACAGACAACCUCUCGAUUGCCGUAAAAUCGGUUUCAAAAAAGACUCCACACCUUGGCUGACCCGAGGCAUCACAUCUAGCAGAAAUAAAUGCCACGAGUUUAAUGUGAUCUUCCUUUAAGUUAUGGAUGAUAUUCGAAGAAAACCCAGUUUGCCCGAUGGAUGAAUGAUGGUGAAUCUUGAAGGAUUUGGCGAGGCUUUCCACAUUUGAAGAAAAUUCAUCUCGAAUUAACAACAAAAAACAAUGCACAAAUUAUAGAGGUUGACGCUUGCAAUUUAGCCUUUAAAAAUGUUGUACUUGUAUUUGGUAAGAGAGACAAUAGUAUUUUACUUGUCAGUAUUUGUUUG